rnacentral:rRNA from 1 species
AGAGCGAACGCUGGCGGCAGGCCUAACACAUGCAAGUCGAGCGCCCGUAGCAAUACGGGAGCGGCAGACGGGAUAGUAACACGUGGGAACGCGCCCUUCGGUUCGGAAUAACUCAGGGAAACUUGAGCUAAUACCGGAUACGCCCUUACGGGGAAAGAUUUAUUGCCGAAGGAACGGCCCGCGUCCGAUUAGCUAGUUGGUGAGGUAAUGGCUCACCAAGGCGACGAUCGGUAGCUGGUCUGAGAGGAUGACCAGCAUCACUGGGACUGAGACACGGCCCAGACUCCUACGGGAGGCAGCAGUGGGGAAUAUUGGACAAUGGGCGCAAGCCUGAUCCAGCCAUGCCGCGUGGAUGAUGAAGGCCUUAGGGGUUGUAAAGUCCUUUUAACGGGGAAGAUAAUGACGGUACCCGUAGAAUAAGCCCCGGCUAACUUCGCGCCAGCAGCCGC